rnacentral:lncRNA from 1 species
UCGUCUUUGCUUUCCUUGCAGGGCUCCCGGGAGCAGUACUUUACAGAAGAUAGUGAAGGAGGCCGUGAUUGACUACUUUGAUGUCCAGGAUUGAGAAGAUAGAUAGAUUUAUAUAAAAGAAUGAUUCUGUGUAUUGGAGGAGACUCAUUUGCCAGCAGAUAAAUCAUGCUCGUUCCUCCUGCCUGGCAGAACCCCAGCACACGUGCUGUCUUGUCCUGAUACAGCCAAAGCAUGAGUGUGUCAGAACCCCCUGUCUGGGCCUGUCCACAGACCUCUGGCUGUGUGGCCACUGGAUUUUUAAUCAUGUGUUUGAAGAGGCUCCUCACAUAUCACUGUGAUUACUAAGAGAUUGGGGGAGUAUCAGCUUUUAUUUGGAUAAAUCAGAAUUUUUAUCCCAAACUGACUUUGUGGCACCUAGCCAUAGUCUGGUUGUCCCAUUUGUUCUGGUGGGCCUCACCUUCCUCAUGAGGAAAGACGUGAAGCCCUGACCAUUGGUAAAACUAUGUCUGCAAUCGUGUGUCUUAAACCUACCCAUCUUAUCCAAAAGCUCCCGGAUGUCUCUAGACUGGUUAGGUUGCUUUAUAGAGUUCCGUUUUCUCAAAUCCCUGGCAUUCUUUCAGCAUGUCACCAAGCCUACCCCGGGACAGUUUAACUGUCUCUCAUAAUGGUAAGAACUUGGGACCAGCUCUCUCGCCAUGUUCACAAUGUGGGUCUAUGACCAUGUCCACUGUAGCCCUAAGUCCUCUGUGGUUGGUAGAGACUCUCGCAUAGACAGCGGUACUGGGUUGCUUUUUUCCUAGGCUUUCAGCAGCCAUGCUGACUCUCUCUGCAUCUGAGCUCUGAACCACUGUUCAAAUAUUCAAAGUAUGUGGACAGUCCAGAGUUUACGCCAAGCAUCCUACUGUAGGCCUUCUUCAGUCUCCACUGUGCCCAUCUGUGUGGCCCCUCUUCUCCAUAGGCUGGACUUAUCUUUGUUGUUGUCUUUUGGUUUUGGUUUGUUUUUUCAAGAUAGGGUUUCUCUGUGUAGCCCUAGCUGCCCUGGAGCUCGCUCCUGUAGACCAGGCUAGCCUCAAACUCAGAGAGAUCCACCAGCCUAUGCCUCCUGAGUGCUGGGAUUAAAGGCAUGCGCCACUACCACCUGGCUUCUUUUUGCUUUAAAAUAAACUUUGAGCCUCCCAAAACUUGAAAUCAUUAAACAAGGCACUUAAUUUUU